CACAGUGUACAACACAGGACUUCAUGACCGGAGCUGCUUUUGGCAAGGUGAGCGAUGAACAGAUGUAGCAGUUAUUUUAGGGUUGCUGUUGUCACUGCACUUACUUAACUACACAAAAUACAGUUAAAGUCCUGUUUAUAUUCCAGAGGUGUUGUAGCUGGCUUAAGAGAGCAGAUGGAAGCAUCUGCCUCGGGCAGGUGAGGGGGCAGAGUAAGGGAGCAGAUGAGAGUACCUGUCCUAGCUGUGCUGUGGCUUUGGAUGCUGCCGCGGCCUAUGCUUUUCUUUUUCUUUCGCAGGUGCCUUGCACAGAGUCAGAGGGGACAAGCUGCACUCCUGAAGAGCAGCACGAGAAGGGCAGGCUGGUCGUGAGUGGGGUUGGAGCAGAAUGGCCAAGUAGCGCAAGGUGACUGCGAAGGGUAUCCAUCUUGCUUUGCAGGUGCCAUGGCAGGCUCUCCACACAAGUGGCUGAGGAGUUGAGAAGAGGUUACAGAGCAUCAAGGAGCAGCACGUGCAGUGAUGGCUUCCAAAUGGUGAAGAGGUGCCUGAAGCCCCAUCCUGUCUAGCCUGCGCACACCUCGCUAAGAAUGAAAGCUGCUUUCCAGUAAUUCAGACAGCCAAGUUACGUCUCAGCCUCGAGCAUCUGGGGACUGUGCCUGUGCUUUUGGGCCUGUCUGUAGCAUUUGGCACCUGCAUUAAUACUUUCUUGGCAUA